rnacentral:rRNA from 1 species
AUACGGAGGGUGCGAGCGUUAAUCGGAAUUACUGGGCGUAAAGCGUACGUAGGCGGUUGGUUAAGUUAGAUGUGAAAGCCCCGGGCUUAACCUGGGAACUGCAUUUAAAACUGGCGAACUAGAGUUGAGUAGAGGGGAGUGGAAUUUCAGGUGUAGCGGUGAAAUGCGUAGAGAUCUGAAGGAACACCAGUGGCGAAGGCGACUCCCUGGACUCCAACUGACGCUGAGGUACGAAAGCGUGGGUAGCAAACGGGAUUAGAUACCCUAGUAGUCC